rnacentral:rRNA from 1 species
CCUACGGGAGGCUGCAGUGGGGAAUAUUGGACAAUGGGCGAAAGCCUGAUCCAGCCAUGCCGCGUGUGUGAAGAAGGCCUUCGGGUUAUAAAGCACUUUCAGUGGGGAAGAAAGCCUUGGGGCUAAUACCCUCGAGGAAGGACAUCACCCACAGAAGAAGCACCGGCUAACUCCGUGCCAGCAGCCGCGGUAAUACGGAGGGUGCGAGCGUUAAUCGGAAUUACUGGGCGUAAAGCGCGCGUAGGCGGUCUGAUAAGCCGGUUGUGAAAGCCCCGGGCUCAACCUGGGAACGGCAUCCGGAACUGUCAGGCUAGAGUGCAGGAGAGGAAGGUAGAAUUCCCGGUGUAGCAGUGAAAUGCGUAGAGAUCGGGAGGAAUACCAGUGGCGAAGGCGGCCUUCUGGACUGACACUGACGCUGAGGUGCGAAAGCGUGGGUAGCAAACAGGAUUAGAUACCCCUGUAGUC